AUUGAACGCUGGCGGCAGGCCUAACACAUGCAAGUCGAACGAGUGGCGGACGGGUGAGUAAUGUCUGGGAAAAUGCCCGAUGGAGGGGGAUAACUACUGGAAAAGGUAGCUAAUACCGCAUACCAUCGGAUGUGCCCAAAUGGGAUUAGCUAGUAGGGGGGGUAACGGCUCACCUAGGCGACGAUCCCUAGCUGGUCUGAUAGGAUGACCAGCCACACUGGAACUUAGACACGGUCCAGACUCCUACGGGAGGCAGCAGUGGGGAAUAUUGCACAAUGGGCGCAAUCCUGAUGCAGCCAGGCCGCGUGUAUGAAGAAGGCCUUCGGGUUGUAAAGUACUUUCAGCGAGGAGGCGUUACUCGCAGAAGAAGCACCGGCUAACUCCGUGCCAGCAGCCGCGGUAAUAC
rnacentral:rRNA from 1 species